UGGCUCAGGACGAACGCUGGCGGCGUGCUUAACACAUGCAAGUCGAACGGAAAGGCCCUUCGGGGUACUCGAGUGGCGAACGGGUGAGUAACACGUGGGUGAUCUGCCCUGCACUUUGGGAUAAGCCUGGGAAACUGGGUCUAAUACCGAAUAUGACCACGCUCUUCAUGGGGUGUGGUGGAAAGCUUUUGCGGUGUGGGAUGGGCCCGCGGCCUAUCAGCUUGUUGGUGGGGUAAUGGCCUACCAAGGCGACGACGGGUAGCCGGCCUGAGAGGGUGACCGGCCACACUGGGACUGAGAUACGGCCCAGACUCCUACGGGAGGCAGCAGUGGGGAAUAUUGCACAAUGGGCGCAAGCCUGAUGCAGCGACGCCGCGUGAGGGAUGACGGCCUUCGGGUUGUAAACCUCUUUCAAUAGGGACGAAGCGCAAGUGACGGUACCUAUAGAAGAAGCACCGGCCAACUACGUGCCAGCAGCCGCGGUAAUACGUAGGGUGCGAGCGUUGUCCGGAAUUACUGGGCGUAAAGAGCUCGUAGG
rnacentral:rRNA from 1 species